rnacentral:lncRNA from 1 species
CCCCGACAACAGGGGCGUGUCCUUGGCUAAGGGGCGUGUCCCCGGCACCAGGGGGCGUGUCCCGGCCCGUGUCAGUCUCUCUGCUGUUCACAGGCGCGUGGCCGUUGCAGUGGCGGCGCCGCCCCCUCCCCCAUAGCGCCGCGCGGAGGCCCCCGAACGCGACAGCCACAGCUUGGCUGAGAAUGUGCUGCUGCCUGCGUAACCACCAACUUCCCACCUCAGAGACUGACUCAGGUUUUUAUCCCUCGCCGCUCUGGACUAUUGAGUGAAGACGCAGCAUCAGUAGUAGUACAACAGGGUCUCUAGAACUGCGGCUGAAUCAGUCGUUCCACGCUUAUUAAAACUUCAGUCCCUGCUUCUGCUGAUUAUGGAGUUCAAGUUCUGCAUUUGUCUCAUCUGUGAACAUUAUGCAGCAUGCUAUUUCUAAUACUGCUGCAGCUCAGUCUUUCAUCUAAUGCAAUUAAUGAGGAAAACCAAAUAAAUAAAAACUCUGAUUUCUGUCAAGGAAACUUACAGCAUCUAAUUCAAGACUUUUCAAACAUUUAUGUUCUUCUGGGCAUGGUAGCUACUGCGCUCCUAUCUAAAUCCCAGUAAGCUUGUACUCACCUAGAACGGGCACCCAGCAGGAUGCCAAAUGAAAUUCCAUGAGCUAUUGCUGCCCUCCUUUUCAGGGCAAAGGGAUAGUUUGGAGAUUGACGACUGUGGUUUACAGCAUAGAAUACCCCUUCUUAGAUCAAAUGUAAGCACUAAUGUGAGCGUUUCCCUCAACUUUCAAACAAAGUGGGUGAAUUUCCUGGGCUCCCGCCGAGUUGUCAUAUGGUUCUUUGUCUGGCAAAGUUUGUAUGCUCCUGGCCUGGAGGACAGAAGCCCUAUAAGCCAAUGCUAAUUAAAAUAGGCUGAAGAUCAUCACAAUUUCUCUUCCAGAUGAUGGCAGCUAGAGUGUCUUGCCAGAGCUGCUUGUGCAAAUCCUUUCUCUGACUAGUGGCUGUGUAUGUGGAGGAGGUGGAAGCACUGUGUGUGCUGUUAGGGACAGAAACUUUUCUUUAAAAAAAGUGGGGUAUGCAAAUGCUGAUGUGUAUUGUAUUCUUUACUUUACAAUAAUACCAUAUUGGUAAUACUAGACAUAAUGAAUUUGGCCUGCUUUUCAGAGACAAUAAAACAGGACUUAUAUAAAAGAGGGUACCA